GAAUGGGUCAGAGGGCAAAAGUUUUAAGGCAUGGUGGAAGCCAAAGGCCUUGCAGGAGAUGAAAGAGGAGGUGUGUUCCUGGGCUAGCUAGCAUUCUUUGUGGACAGAAUAAGCUUUGGAUUUUCUGAACCUCACGCUCUGGAUCAAUGUGCUCUGUGUGUCUGGAGACCCUACUCUCUGCAUAGGCUCCUUGGCCACCAGGUCACCUUAUGGAAGUCUGCCAUCCCGCUGAAUAAUGUAUCCUCCCACCAUACACCCACUGUUUUUACUUGGCCUGUAAACCUGUGGGACCCAUUUUCCAAAAUCCUAACUUAAGGGGUUAUGUACAUCAUGACUGUGGAGCAUAGCCAAGGGUCUUAAAUACGGAGCAGCUAAAAUUAUGGUCUCUGAAAAUGACAACAGCAUCUAAUCCCAGUGCCUGGUUCUUGAUCGCCUGGUGACUCCAGUGCAUGUGGAAAUACCACAAAUGAAAGUUUCUAAAUGGACUAAGUGGAGUUUUCACAGUUAGAAAACCUUCAAACCAUGUCCUGUGCCAGGUGGUACGUCCAUGUUGGCAUCACCAAUGGUUGUGUCUGCCCCAAACCUGGCAGCAUUUUGAGCUCCAGGCUAAGCCCCGGUACUUGGUGCAGGCGGGAUUAAUGCAGCUAAAGCUCUGGAUGCCCAGUGCACUGCCAUUUCCUGAGGCAAAGAAUGUCAGAGCUUUUUAAGACAGGUCCCGCUGUUUUCUCUCCCCAUCUCAGGCCAUUGUUUCCCC